rnacentral:rRNA from 1 species
UGUCGUAACAAGGUAACCGUAAGUCGUAACAAGGUAACCGUAGAGUUUGAUCCUGGCUCAGCCUUUGACUUAAAAAAAUGGAGAAGUCGUAACAAGGUAACCGUAAGUCGUAACAAGGUAGCCGUAAGUCGUAACAGGGUACCGUAGAGUUUGAUCCUGGCUCAGAAAGACCUAACAAGGUAGCCGUAA